UUAAAAAAAGUUUCGAGGUUCAGAGUGGACUCCAAGUCAACCAAAUCAGAACCUCCGGGGGUGGGACUCAGGCGUCUGUAGAAAACUGCUCUGGGAGUCCCGAGUCAGGGUUUAUGGCUGCAGGACCCAUGAACCUAUUUGUAUCAAGUCAUUCUGUUCAGACAAGACCUAUGGGGAUAUACUCCCACGACUGGUGUGUUAGAAUGGAAGAAAUAAGGCAGGGCCCAUGAAGCCAUUACAUCUUGAAGGGGGAGCCAGUAGAACAUGAUGUGCUGGAUACCUGCCUGCUGUUCCCCUGCAGAGAGAAAGAGAAUAGAAGAUUCCUGCUUCAUACCCUUUGGAGACGGAGGGCAGGGCCAGCCCUCUGAGCCUCUCAUCCCUUUCUUCCAGGAGCUGUGACAUGCGUUUCAACUGCUGGUGGUACAUUCUCUAACAAAGGCGCUCUGGUUUCUAGGUUUGCUCUUCCUGGAGACAGGAAAAGGGCACAGCAGGCUCACCACCCCACACCUUUGUGUUCAUUAAAAGAGGAAUGGAUAAGCAAUGAGGUCCUGCUGUGGGGCACAGGGAACUAUAUCCAGCCUCUUGGGAUAGACCAUGAUGGAAAAUAAUAGAAGAAAGGAAAUGAUUGAGUCACUCUACUAUAUAGCAGAAAUUAACAUAACACUGUAAAUCAACCAGACACUAAUAAAACAAAUUUUUAAAAGUUAAAAAAAAAGGCUCACUUCUCCAACAAAGCCCCUCUGUCCCAUGACAUAAUGUUAUAAAGGCACAUUUUUCCUUCAGGUCACAGUUCGCUGCUGGUGAAGCUGCAUAGUGUGCCUCUGCUCCACACACUCAUUCUGGGACCCAGGUUCCCUCUACCCUUGGUUCUUCUAGCCCAGAGGGUCCCAGAGUCCUCCCCAUAAGAGUGUGGAGGGAAGAAAGCAUGAAAGGUCAUAGAGGAAGCCUGCCAGGUGCCAGGCUUGGGAGGAAUGUCCACCACGGCUGCCUCUGCUGCCCACAUUCAUUGACACAUCUGCCUCACGGUCUCAUCUCUCUGCAGGGGACACUGGGAAAUAUGGGCCAGCUGUAUCCACAGAUGGAAAAGGAGAUGGAAAUUGGUGAACUUGUGGCUUUGCUGUCUCAGCCUCCAUCUAAAAUGGCCAAAUCCCCAUUUCAAGAGAAAAACAAAUCCACAAGAGAAUAGGGCCGUCCCAGACCUUAUUUGCUUAUUUAUUUAUUUAUUCU